rnacentral:rRNA from 1 species
AGAGUUUGAUCCUGGCUCAGGAUGAACGCUAGCGAUAGGCUUAACACAUGCAAGUCGAGGGGCAGCAUGGUCUUAGCUUGCUAAGACUGAUGGCGACCGGCGCACGGGUGCGUAACGCGUAUGCAACUUGCCUCACAGAGGGGGAUAACCCGUCGAAAGACGGACUAAUACCGCGUACACUCCAUCUUGGGCAUCCAAGGUAGAGGAAAAGAAAUUCGCUGUGAGAUAGGCAUGCGUCCCAUUAGCUAGUUGGUGAGGUAACGGCUCACCAAGGCGACGAUGGGUAGGGGAACUGAGAGGUUGAACCCCCACACUGGUACUGAGACACGGACCAGACUCCUACGGGAGGCAGCAGUGAGGAAUAUUGGUCAAUGGGCGAGAGCCUGAACCAGCCAAGUCGCGUGAAGGAUGACUGUCUUAUGGAUUGUAAACUUCUUUUAUACGGGAAUAACAAGAGCCACGUGUGGCUCCCUGCAUGUACCGUAUGAAUAAGCAUCGGCUAACUCCGUGCCAGCAGCCGCGGUAAUACGGAGGAUGCGAGCGUUAUCCGGAUUUAUUGGGUUUAAAGGGUGCGUAGGCGGCCUGUUAAGUCAGCGGUGAAAUCUAGGAGCUUAACUCCUAAAUUGCCAUUGAUACUGGCGGGCUUGAGUGUAGAUGAGGUAGGCGGAAUGCGUGGUGUAGCGGUGGAAUGCAUAGAUAUCACGCAGAACUCCGAUUGCGAAGGCAGCUUACUAAGGUACAACUGACGCUGAAGCACGAAAGCGUGGGUAUCAAACAGGAUUAGAUACCCUGGUAGUCCACGCAGUAAACGAUGAUAACUGGGCGUAUGCGAUAUACAGUAUGCUCCUAAGCGAAAGCGUUAAGUUAUCCACCUGGGGAGUACGCCGGCAACGGUGAAACUCAAAGGAAUUGACGGGGGCCC